UGUAUGUAAGGCUAGAUGGAAACCAAGGCUUCUGCACCUCACUAAGUACUUAGUUGAAGGUGAAGGGGUCAGCAUUUGGGCAGCCACCAUAAAACAACUGUUUAAGAGGUUUGGACUGAAGUAGGUGGCAUGCACAGUUGGUAACGAAGCAGGAUCGAGCUCAAGCCCUGGCUGCAUUUGGAAUUUGGAUUUUGGAAUCAAAUUGAGGUCAGAGUUGUAGACAAAGAAACUGGUCUUGAAACAUAACACCAAGUUCACCUGAGCAGGGCUAGGUAAGAUGGAAAGGAAGCUUCCUUGUCCUGGGGCUUUGAGUCGGAGUCAGACAUGUUUCCCGUUCAUCAUCUUUCGAUAAUGUGGAAGUUAAGACAACUUUCUGAUCUGGUCCCUAGUCAAACAGAAGAGAGGUGGUCUGAGACACUGAGAUGACGGCUCAGUCAGCACAGUGCUUGCCACAGAAGCGGAAGGACCCACAUUCAGUCUCCAGGACCAAGACACCAAGAAAAACUGUCCAGAAACACUCAAAGAUGGAACACUGCAAAACAUAAAUGCUCAGCCUUUCUAACAGCUUAUUGCUUAACCUUAGAGGGCUGGACUGCAAGCUUAUGUCACCACAGCUGUGGUGAAUCAGCACUCAUUUGGUGUUUUAAUAUCUCCAAUAAUUUCACUUCAUUAUCUCUCUCUCUUAAAUUGGUUACUCUCUCAUAAAUAUACAUACAAGUAUA